AGCUGUGUGGCUUCGUGGUCAUGCUGCUAGUUUCACCAAGUAUUUAAUCGCAUCGUGUUGAGGAGCGCGGGUUCGAUUCCCGCCGCGGCUG
rnacentral:tRNA from 1 species